GGGGAUUUGGCUCAGUGGUAGAGCGCUUGCCUAGCAAGCGCAAGGCCCUGGGUUCGAUCCCCAGCUCG
rnacentral:tRNA from 1 species